rnacentral:tRNA from 1 species
CAAAAUGUAGCUUAACUAUAAAGCAUUUAGCUUACACCUAAAAGAUUUCAGCACAACCUGACCAUUUUGA